rnacentral:SRP_RNA from 1 species
AAGGUCGGCGCUGGACGGAUGUGUCGCGAACUCGGUCAGGUCCGGAAGGAAGCAGCCGUAGUGAAUUUCAGACGGGUUAGAUGUCCGGCCUUCCA